AACAAGUUAGGUUCAGAUUCAGGUUUUCAGGGGAGUCAGAGAAUCAGACAGACGGGUGUGCUCAGGCCUGCUAAUUGUAACUGGCUUAACACUCUGGCACUGGAAUGCAGUCCUACCACUGCUUGAAUGCUGGUGUCCUGAUGAGCAAAUGAGCCGCAGGUGUGGUUGUCAGCUUCAGCUCCAGGAGACCUAGGGCGCCCUCUGCUGGAGAAAGGUGGACAGACCUCCAGAUCCCAACACUAAUGAAGUUUCAUGAGCACACAAGCACGAGAAUGCUGGAAUACACAUAUUGAGAAACAGCCUAAGUUGUUCUCUCCAAAUGACAUCUGUUUUUUCUUCUUUGACUUGUUUCGUUUUGUUUUUCAGACUUAGAUCCUGUAACCUCUCAGGGAGAACUUGUGAAGUUCUGUCAUCAGUUCUGAGGUCCAAGUCCUGCUGUCUGACAGAGGUUGACCUGCAGAACAACAAUCUCCAAGAUUCAGGGGAUAUGUUUCUGUCUGGUUCAGACUGGACACUGGAAAUAUUUGGGGAGCCUAAUGGAGUCCGAUGGUUGAAACCAGGUCUGAGGAAGUAUUCCUGUCAGCUCACAAUCGACACAAACACAGUGAACAGAAACCUGAAACUGUCUGAAGACAACAGGAAGGUGACAUGUGUAGCUGAGCUUCAGUCAUAUCCUGAUCAUCCAGACAGAUUUGAUUACUGGCUUCAGCUGCUGUGUAGUGAUGGGCUGACUGGUCGCUGUUACUGGGAGGUCGAGUGGAGAGGAGCAGUUUAUAUAUCAGUGAGUUACAGAAGAAUCAAGAGAAAAGGAGACAGUGAAGACUGUUGGUUUGGAUGUAAUGAUCAUUCGUGGAGUCUGAGAUGCUGUGAUGAAGGCUACUAUGUGUGGCACAAUAAGACAACAUUCAUCCCCUCCUCCUCUGUCUCUAACAGAGUAGCAGUGUAUGUGGACUGUCCUGCUGGCAUUCUGUCCUUCUACAGAGUCUCAUCUGACUCACUGAUCCACCUCUUCACCUUCAACACCACAUUCACUGAACCUCUUUAUCCUGGAUUCUGGGUCGGUUCUGGUUCUUCAGUGUUUCUGUGUUGAGUCUAAAGAGUCUCCUCCUAUCAGAGAAACUCUCUCACUGUGGAACAGAUCAGUCUCUAAAUGUCUGUCUCUUUCUCACAGAAGCAUUUUCACAUUCAGUCAGUUUCUUUCUGAAACUCCUGGAAACGAUUCCGUGUAACCUCCGUCCUCUCCAGUCAUUUAAAGAUGGAAGCUGGGAUUAUUCCAGGAUCCAAAGGUUUGGUUCUGUUUCCACUCAAACCUUCAUUUAGGGUUUUUCCACCAAUGGGCUUCCAGUGCUAUACCAAUGCUGCUGCUGGAGCUGGUUCUGUUCUGGUUCUUUCCAUCUCUUCCAGUAAAUGUUUGAUCCUGGCUCUUAAUUUCACCGUCAGAGGAAGAUUGAACAUUUCUAUCUCCAAGCUUUUCUGACCUGUUUCUUCUUUGUGUCUCUAAUGUAGUUUUUCUUCCUCUGAUCUGAACAGUUUUGUUCAUUAGUCCCAGAUAAACAGGCUGCCUCCUCAGGAUCUGUGGGCUGUGAAGUUCUGGGUUUCUGGAACUAAUUAGUGAUGGAAAAUUAUGACGCUGUUUGAACUACCCAGCUGGUUGUUCAGUUCUUCACUGUUAGCAUCUGCUAUGUUUUAAUCAGCCAGAUCAGUUCCCAAUACAACUUCUGAUGAAGAAUAAUUCCAGACUAUCUGUGGCUGAACUGCAGCUGAUGGAAAUAUUGGAAAAUAAAACAGGAUUUACUGCCAGUUUUCUGAGGCUUAUUUUUAAAGUAAAUGUGACAUUUUGAAUAAAGGUAUUUUAAUCUGUUUCAUCAACAGUUUUUAUUAUGUGAAUUAGUGAUGAAAACAUCUAAUUAGUGUCUUUGUACUGAAAUGUUAUUAGUCUUUAACAAAUUCCACUA